ACCUACUUCUCCAUUAAUUUUAUACGUUAAGACUCCUAGGCUUACUAUGCAUCAGUUACACGUUACAAUACAAACCUCCCUGCCUUCUUCAAGUUUCACAAGAUAAAACCUCACUUUUCACCUUCAGUUUUUCAUAUGAUAUCCAUAAAUAAACAUCCUUAUUCCUCCUUUAAAACUCAAAUCUCAAGAAUCUGAUGAAAUUCAUUCAAGAAAACAAGAAUAAUCCCUUCUCCAGAUCUCAACAUCUUCAAACGUUUUGAGGUUCUGGCUCUCAAGUCCACGAUCAGGCACCUCAUUAGGAUUCCUAACUUCUGUUAUUGUUGGUUGUCAAACCCUUGUCAUUAUUGCUGCUCUGCCAUAUUGAUGAGUACAGUGCAGCAGACGAUGGUCAAUAGUUUCAACUCAUGCACUUUCUUCUAGCCAAGACCAUUCUAGGACGAAUGAAUCCAAGGCGGAGAUAAUGUAACACCCUGAACGUUCGAGCUAAAAAUAAAACAGAUUGGACUGUUCUUCAAAUGUACUUAGACCUGAAUCUAUAUAUUUUAUUGUAUUUAAGUGUAAAGGUCAUGUCUAAAGUGUCGUAGGGGUAUUGGGUAUGAAUUAAGGGCAUAAGAAAGCUCUAAAACAAGUUUGAGUUGAAAGGUUCUUUAAUGAUUAAGUUUUUGUAUAGGUU